rnacentral:ncRNA from 1 species
CAAGAGGAUGCCGAAAAUCUUACAGAGUAGGCA